UGAACUUCUUUGGAGUUUGGCUGUUGAUCUAAAAUCCAGGCCGCAAUUUCGUAACGUGGAACAACUCUUCAAUUACUCAACUAACUUCGUCCGACGACGUCGUUCUCCUUUUUUUUUAUUUUUUUUAUUUUUAUUUUACUUCCAGCUUAUUAUUGGGAUGGCGUCUCUUAGUCCCAUUAUUUCCCACGUUCACUUCAGAGCUCACUCAGGAGUGUGGAGGCUCCAUCUAUCCAGAUCAAACAACAAUCCUUGACCUUCAGACACAUCAAUCUGCUCGAGGGAAGGAUAGAGCGCGUGCAGAUCCUUCAGAGUCAAUACCAACAGCUGUGGACAAUCUCCAGUCCAAAAAACCAGAUUAGAACCCAGAAGUUAAUCAGAAACAAGAGUUCAACUUACGAAUGUGAAGCAAUCAGAUAGAGAGUACUACCUCAUUUACAGAUGCAGAGCCAAUGCAGGGAGACAAAUCGAGCAGGUCCCUCAAGAAAACUUCUUCCUGCGGAAAGAGAAAGGAGAAACACCAUGGCAUGCUCCAAUUGCCAUCUCCAAUCUGAAAAAGCUUUUGCAUAGCCAGCCACCAAGUUGCAUGGUAAAAUAAUCAAUAUAAUAGUUUAACUUUUUGCUGGCAAUAAACUUUCUUGGGUUCAGGCAACUCAGACCAUGACGACGCAAGAAACGGAAGAUUGAAGACAAGAGAAAGAUUAUGAUAAUGGUAAAGAACAUUUUGGAUGGAUUAAUGUUUUGAUUAUAAUGUCGGAGAAUAUUCAAAUUCAAAGGGGAAAUUCUUGAUAAAAAGAAAAGAAAUGAAGAUUCUUCUUCCAUAACGUAUUGUUAUUGUUGUUGAUGCUGUUGUCUAGGUCUGGGUCUGGCUUUGGAAAGCAUACAUGGAUACCUCUUUUCUCCUUCGUUUUCAAAAGAGAGGAAAAAGAAAGUGGAAUUGGGAUGAGAAAUAUUUCUUUUUGGGUAAAAAAAAAAAAAAAACUCUAUAUCUGUAAGAAUGAUUAAUUUUUUAAAAUUUUGCUUUGUUUAAAGACAAACUCUCACUCUAUAUUUGGUAUGGUAAGCCAAAUUCUGUGGUUA